GGAGUCAGAACAUGGGUGAUAAGGUCCGUGUUCGAAAGGGAAACAGCCCAGACCACCAGCUAAGGUCCCAAAAUAUAUGUUAAGUGGAAAAGGAUGUGGCGUUGCCCAGACAACUAGGAUGUUGGCUUAGAAGCAGCCAUCAUUUAAAGAGUGCGUAAUAGCUCACUAGUCGAGUGACACUGCGCCGAAAAUGUACCGGGGCUAAACAUAUUACCGAAGCUGUGGAUUGUCCUUUGGACAAUGGUAGGAGAGCGUUCUAAGGGCGUUGAAGCAUGAUCGUAAGGACAUGUGGAGCGCUUAGAAGUGAGAAUGCCGGUGUGAGUAGCGAAAGACGGGUGAGAAUCCCGUCCACCGAUUGACUAAGGUUUCCAGAGGAAGGCUCGUCCGCUCUGGGUUAGUCGGGUCCUAAGCUGAGGCCGACAGGCGUAGGCGAUGGAUAACAGGUUGAUAUUCCUGUACCACCUAUAAUCGUUUUAAUCGAUGGGGGGACGCAGUAGGAUAGGCGAAGCGUGCGAUUGGAUUGCACGUCUAAGCAGUAAGGCUGAGUAUUAGGCAAAUCCGGUACUCGUUAAGGCUGAGCUGUGAUGGGGAGAAGACAUUGUGUCUUCGAGUCGUUGAUUUCACACUGCCGAGAAAAGCCUCUAGAUAGAAAAUAGGUGCCCGUACCGCAAACCGACACAGGUAGUCAAGAUGAGAAUUCUAAGGUGAGCGAGCGAACUCUCGUUAAGGAACUCGGCAAAAUGACCCCGUAACUUCGGGAGAAGGGGUGCUCUUUAGGGUUAACGCCCAGAAGAGCCGCAGUGAAUAGGCCCAAGCGACUGUUUAUCAAAAACACAGGUCUCUGCUAAACCGUAAGGUGAUGUAUAGGGGCUGACGCCUGCCCGGUGCUGGAAGGUUAAGAGGAGUGGUUAGCUUCUGCGAAGCUACGAAUCGAAGCCCCAGUAAACGGCGGCCGUAACUAUAACGGUCCUAAGGUAGCGAAAUUCCUUGUCGGGUAAGUUCCGACCCGCACGAAAGGCGUAACGAUUUGGGCACUGUCUCAACGAGAGACUCGGUGAAAUCAUAGUACCUGUGAAGAUGCAGGUUACCCGCGACAGGACGGAAAGACCCCGUGGAGCUUUACUGUAGCCUGAUAUUGAAAUUCGGCACAGCUUGUACAGGAUAGGUAGGAGCCUUUGAAACGUGAGCGCUAGCUUACGUGGAGGCGCUGGUGGGAUACUACCCUAGCUGUGUUGGCUUUCUAACCCGCACCACUUAUCGUGGUGGGAGACAGUGUCAGGCGGGCAGUUUGACUGGGGCGGUCGCCUCCUAAAAGGUAACGGAGGCGCUCAAAGGUUCCCUCAGAAUGGUUGGAAAUCAUUCAUAGAGUGUAAAGGCAUAAGGGAGCUUGACUGCGAGACCUACAAGUCGAGCAGGGUCGAAAGACGGACUUAGUGAUCCGGUGGUUCCGCAUGGAAGGGCCAUCGCUCAACGGAUAAAAGCUACCCCGGGGAUAACAGGCUUAUCUCCCCCAAGAGUUCACAUCGACGGGGAGGUUUGGCACCUCGAUGUCGGCUCAUCGCAUCCUGGGGCUGUAGUCGGUCCCAAGGGUUGGGCUGUUCGCCCAUUAAAGCGGUACGCGAGCUGGGUUCAGAACGUCGUGAGACAGUUCGGUCCCUAUCCGUCGUGGGCGUAGGAAAUUUGAGAGGAGCUGUCCUUAGUACGAGAGGACCGGGAUGGACAUACCUCUGGUGUACCAGUUGUCGUGCCAACGGCAUAGCUGGGUAGCUAUGUGUGGACGGGAUAAGUG
rnacentral:rRNA from 1 species